GCAUAGGUGCACACUUUAUUGACACGUGUGCACCUAUGCCGUCGGUUCUUUGCUAGGAACCGACGGCAUAGGGUCUUGCAGAGUAUAACCUCUGCAUCGUCUUCUUCUUCCUCACUUCUUCUUCUCCAGCAUAUACCCAGCCACUUCUACAGCAGAGAAAACCCACGAAAACCCUCGCCAACCACCUCUAAAAACCCACAUAUCUCACUCAUUUCUUCACCAUUUCACCUCAUUUUUGUCUUAAAAGUUUCUAUUUUCAAUAUCUAAUCCCAUACACUAAAAAAGUUUUGUUUUUUCACCCAUUUACACUGUACCCGAACCUAUUUUAAAAAAAAGUGGUGGUUUAACUCCGACCACCGCUUUUAGCGGAGAAAUCGUUCAAUCUCAACGUUCAUUAAGGUGGCCGGAUUUUUGGUCGCAAUUUGUCGCCGGAUUGCGUUUAUAAGAUAUGGCCAACUCGAGUUCGGGAUCUGAUUCAGACCCAGAGGCAGAGUGUCCAACCACAAUACCUACACGAGGGCCGACGCAAAUGAAUGAAAUAUCCAAACUAAUGGAUCAGGGCAAAAGAGUGGCCCUCGAAGUUAAUGAUAAAGGUCAAUACUGUGGAAAAAGCUACGCGAAGCUCGU